UGCAACUCGCCUAUAUGAAGCUGGAAUCGCUAGUAAUCGCGAAUCAGAAUGUCGCGGUGAAUACGUUCCCGGGUCUUGUACACACCGCCCGUCACACCAUGGGGAGGUUGGCAACGCCCGAAGUCAGUGACCCAACCUUAACAGGAGGGAGCUGCCGAAGGCGGGGGCUGAUAACUGGGGUGAAGUCGUAACAAGGUAAC
rnacentral:rRNA from 1 species